rnacentral:rRNA from 1 species
AUUGAACGCUGGCGGCAUGCUUUACACAUGCAAGUCGAACGGUAACAGGCCGCAAGGUGCUGACGAGUGGCGAACGGGUGAGUAAUGCAUCGGAACGUGCCCAGUCGUGGGGGAUAACGCAGCGAAAGCUGUGCUAAUACCGCAUACGAUCUAUGGAUGAAAGCGGGGGACCGUAAGGCCUCGCGCGAUUGGAGCGGCCGAUGCCAGAUUAGGUAGUUGGGGGGGUAAAGGCCUACCAAGCCGACGAUCUGUAGCUGGUCUGAGAGGGCGACCAGCCACACUGGGACUGCGACACGGCCCAGACUCCUACGGGAGGCGGCAGUGGGGAAUUUUGGACAAUGGGCGCAAGCCUGAUCCAGCAAUGCCGCGUGCAGGAAGAAGGCCUUCGGGUUGUAAACUGCUUUUGUACGGAACGAAACGGUCUGGGUUAAUACCCCGGGCUAAUGACGGUACCGUAAGAAUAAGCACCGGCUAACUACGUGCCAGCCGCCGCAGUAACAC